rnacentral:lncRNA from 1 species
AAAGGUAGUGCUAACUCAGCUAUGUGUAGCGUAGAUCAUGCGGUACAUGUGGUUGUUUCAUAGAAUUUUAAGAACUUAGCUGUUAAUAUAUGAAAAAUAUACAUGGUUAAUAUAGUUAAGACCUUUUAGGUGCAAAAAUUACAAUAAUCUGAACAUUGAGUAAGCAAGAUUGUAAGCCAUAUGUGAUUUGAGUGGUAGCACAAAGCUUGCAUCUUGGUCGUUCCUUCUCUCCCUUCCCUGUUUUUACUCUGUCACAAACAUUUGGAAAUUUUAACAUUUGCAUGUAGUUUCUGAACUGAACUUCUUGUAGGUAGACCAUCUUGUUGUUGUCUAUUCUAGAUGUGUACAAUAGCAAGAAAAAAAAUCAUAGUAAUGUACUACAUUACAAUACAGUCAGAUCUAAGAACCGGUAUCCUGCAUUGCACUAUCAUCAAAAUAGCCGCUUCCUUCCUUGAUCAAAAUCAUGUUGCCUACAAACAAAUAGUUCAGGUAGUACAACAGCAAAUGAGUUCCUACCUUCCUAGGCAACUAUGACGCAAACUUGUUAGGACUGCUUUCAUAUGCAACUCUGAUGUUCCAUUCAUCUUUGGAACUGCUAAUCUAGUUCUAGUUUGCAUCAAAUUGCACCAAGCUCUCACGACAAUUACACAGCCUAGGGAAUUCUUCUAGGUUAGAUCAACAAUAACUUCAUGCCAUGCACCCUUUGAAGGGAAGAAAACUGACCAACCUGAAGUUGAAAAGCUACAAUGUUUGCCAGUAACAUGCAGUGAGAAUCCAUCCAUCUCGUGCGACCCAGAGGGGCCCUUGUUUACAAAUUUUCUCAUCUUCACCCUACAAUAAAGUUCUUCCACAGUUAUUCCAAAUUUUUAUUUCCUAAAAAAGAAAGCAAAUAGCUUCAAAGGCAAAGAAAAGCAGAAAAUAUCCAAUCGGAUUAGUCACUUGGCAAUAAAAACAUCUUGCCUGGUAUGUGGUGGGUGAAGGGGUUUCCUGACCAAGUUAAAUCGACAACAUGGCACCAGCACCUCGAAAAAUCGUUUGCAUAGUUUUGAGACCCUUGCUCUGGAGCAUUACCUCCUAUGCUUGUACGACAAUCAUUCGAUCAAUGAAUGAAACAAUGGAGCAUAUAUCUAGAAGUGUACAAUAUCAGGUGCAUGUAAAUGCAAACUAAUGGAAAAUAGAAAUGGGAUGAUGAAGCAAUGGGGUGCAUAUAAACAAUUGCAUCCUGGUUCCUGUGCACGGUUGCAAUCUGUUAGGUAUAUCUCAUAAAAAAUCAAGUUCUUAUACCAACUUCUCCGUAGCAGAUUAGAGCACAAUAGUGCAUUGAGAAGAGAAAAUAAGUGGAAUAAAUAAGUAAACCACUAAUGCUUACCAGCCUUGUGAUGUUACUCAGUCCUCUGUGUUGGUCGGGGAUAGAUCAAACAGACGCUAAUUUUUCUGGGUUUUGAAAUCCACUGAACUUACAACAAUCAAAGAAGGCUCAC